CUAUCGACUCAGAGCUCCCCAUCCUCCAGGGGGAGGCCUCCCCGGCUCCCCCACCGGCCCCCACAGCAUGUUCACACCCUGGCGUCCCUCCUCCGGUCAGGAGAGCCUGCCUGUUGCCGGAAUGCCAGGCGGCCACCGCCCAGCAGCUGCCCACACACGUACACACCCGCACACCCACACACCUGCACACCUAACCUGGGGGUAACCCACUUUCCCAGGUGAUGAAGAAAAUCCCAGGCUCGAAGCGGCAUUGGGAAGAAGCACAUCCCUGCGAGGCAGACCCACCUAUACUGAGACCCACCUGUGGCUUUGGCCAAGUCACCUGACAACCGUCCGGCCAACACUUGUCACAUGAGUCCACACCAGCGACAAAUCAGGCAAGGAUCCUGGGCCCUGAGACACAGCCAACAUUUAUUGAGCGCUACUGUGUGCUCGGGACCCGAGCUCAGCAUUUUCCUUGCGUGGCCUCAUUUAACCCCUGAACGGCCUGCGGUGCAGGUACCACCUGCCAGCUUGUUUAUCUGUUGAGGAAACAGAGACCCCAAAUGAAGAAACGAGUUAUUCCUUUUCUUCUUGCUCUUCACCUGUCGCGGGACAGCCACCUGUGGGGCUUCUCUCCGUCACGGGGAGAGAUGGGGACACAGCUCGUCACUUGCAGGGUUGGGGCAAUGUCCAAGGAGGUGAUCUGCGCUGAGCGCCUGGCACAGCGUGGGAAACAGAGGAGGCGCUGAGGGAAUGGUGGUCUGAAGGGACUGUCCCCAGUGUGGACUGUAAAAUGGGACCGCUCUCCUCCUGUGGCCCUGACUUUUCAGAGCCGAAGCCAUGUGGAUGAAGGGAGACAGGUCCCUGGGUGCGGACCUCCCCUUGAGCAGACAACCAGGCCAAGGUGGGCCCCGAUGCGGAGGGUCUCCCAGGACCACGGCCAAGGCUGAGGCCAAGCCCGAGGGUCCCUUGGGAUCCCAGGGAAGUGUCUGUGUGUUAAUGAUUAACCCACGAUCGACACCUGGCUGCCAGCCCUCUUGCCCGCUGACUCAUUUUGCAAACCCUGCUCACCCUUGGGAGUGGCUUCUGCCACCUUGCCUGAGAUCCCAGCCCAGAGGGGCCAUGCAGCCCUGGCGUCCCCACCCGCCGCCGGGAUCGGCACCCAUGAGAGGCGAGCACGUGGAGGGCGCUCAGAUGGAGGAGACAGCGCUGGACCCUCUGCUGACAAAGGCGGGGGCGGGCCGGGCCCUCCGUCUCCAGCGUCCCGCGCCCGCGGUGUCCGGGGUGUCCGGGCCGGGGCGUCGCGCGGGGCGGCGCGGGGCGGGGCGGGGCGAGGGCGGCGUCGGCAGGUACCCCGGGGGCGGGAGGCCGGCCGGGACCCCAGCCCUAAAGGCCCAGGGGGAGGAGCGGCGCGGCGGAGCGCGAGGGCGGCCGAGCUGGGCUCCGCGCGCGGCUUCGCGUCCUGCGCCUGGAGCAGGCGGCGGGGCUGGUCCCCUCCCCGGCUGGGCUCGACCCCGGCCCCGACCCGGCCCCGCAGACGACCUCGGGGUGGCCGCGUCGCCCCUCGCCUGGACGCCGCCGGGGGCGCCCCGAGCCGGGCAGCGAGCCACGCCAUGCUGGAGGGCGACAUCGACCUCGAGGGGCUGUCGCCCAGGGAAGCCCCUGCGGCCCGUGAGUACCGGGGGCCCUGAACGCGGGGCCCUGAGCGCGGGGCGCGGGGCGCGGGGCGCGGGCGCCGGGGACAGCCGCCUGCCCUGCCCUGCCCGGGACCGAGGGGCGCGCGAGGCGCAGGGGACCGGGACCCGUGUGUCCGGUGGCGGGGACCUGGCCCCGGGCUGCGCCCCGCUGAGGGACGAGGGGGCGGCUUGGGCGGCGGCAGGUCGCCGGGGUCACCCGCAGACAAACAGACGGCAGACAGACCACCGGGGGCCCGGCCGGCAGCGCGUCCCCAGUCCCGGGAGAGCAUCUCCCAGCCGCGCGGCGUCCGUGGCCCGGCGGAUGGAAGCUUUUCGGAUGUUUUUACAGGCGCUAUUAAUACACAUAAUAUUUCCGUGCUAUUCUGGAGAUUUAUUUGCGAUAUAA
rnacentral:lncRNA from 12 species